rnacentral:lncRNA from 1 species
CAGGAGCUGACUUUUAUUUCACUACCAAUCCAAAUGGUGAAAAACUGAAAAUACAAAUAUAAAUACAAUUUUACAAUGUGUUCAAUGAUAAUUAAAGUCCAUUAAAAAUACGGAUAAACAGUUCGUAGAUAUAUAAAGCUGUUAAAGUUCUUUAUAAUUAUGAAUAGAUGAAUAUUCUUGCACACGUCGGGUUCUGUCUUGAAUUAAAUCGUGUAAUCGCAGAUACGAACAGUUUGAACGGUAAAAUGUUCAUAGUUUCUUUAUAACAUAGGGAAAUAUAUUAAAACAGUUCAUCGCUAAUGUAAAGACAUAAUUUGUAAUGUUUUAAAGGUAACUCACGCUGUGGUUAGCCACGAAUUGUUCUUUUGGACAACGUGUCCGCUGAAUGUUCUUUGCAGUUGUGCACACGACUCGCUGAGCAGUUUACGUCAUUAGAAGAGAGGGGAAAGUAACGCGGAUUCCUACACUGUCCUGUAUAAAACUCCUAAAACUGGCGCACAUAAAGCGAUGUACGCAAUGAAACGUUAACAAUAUAAAAUGA